rnacentral:rRNA from 1 species
AUGGCGCUCGUCCCACACGGCGGUGGCGCGGGCGGAUCGGCGACGAUGGCGAUGCCGAUGCUGACCGCGGACAACUACACGGUCUGGGCCAUCAAGGCGCAGGCGAUCCUCGACGUCCACACCGUAUGGGAGGCGGUGGCGCCGGGCGACGCGGCGGUGAACGCGCGGAAGGACAAGAUGGCGCGUGCGUUGCUUCUCGGGGCGUUGCCGGAGGAUGUGCUGCUGCAGGUGUCGACGAAGCUCACCGCCAGGGAGGUAUGGGACUCCCUGAAGGUGAGGUUCGUCGGCGCCGAUCGGGUCCGU